rnacentral:rRNA from 1 species
GAUGAACGCUAGCGGCAGGCUUAAUACAUGCAAGUCGAGGGACAGCACAGGUAGCAAUACUGGGUGGUAACCGGCAAACGGGUGCGGAACACGUACACAACCUCCCUUUAAGUGGGGGAUAGCCCAGAGAAAUUUGGAUUAAUACCCCGUAAUAUAGUUGAAUGGCAUCAUUUGAUUAUUAUAGCUACGGCGCUUAAUGAUGGGUGUGCGGCUGAUUAGAUAGUUGGCGGGGUAACGGCCCACCAAGUCUACGAUCAGUAGCUGAUGGGAGGGCAUGAUCAGCAACACGGGCACUGGGACACGGGCCCGACUCCUACAGGAGGCAGCAGUAAGGAAUAUUGGUCAAUGGACGCAAGUCUGAACCAGCCAUGCCGCGUGAAGGAUUAAGGUCCUCUGGAUUGUAAACUUCUUUUAUUUGGGACGAAAAAGGGCCUUUCUAGGUCAACUGACGGUACCAGAUGAAUAAGCACCGGCUAACUCCGUGCCAGCCGCCGCCGUAAUAC